rnacentral:rRNA from 1 species
CAGCAGCCGCGGUAAUUCGGAGGGUGCAAGCGUUAUCCGGAUUCACUGGGUUUAAAGGGUGCGUAGGUGGGUUGGUAAGUCAGUGGUGAAAUCUCCGAGCUUAACUUGGAAACUGCCAUUGAUACUAUCAAUCUUGAAUAUUGUGGAGGUUAGCGGAAUAUGUCAUGUAGCGGUGAAAUGCUUAGAUAUGACAUAGAACACCAAUUGCGAAGGCAGCUGGCUACACAUAUAUUGACACUGAGGCACGAAAGCGUGGGGAUCAAACAGGAUUAGAUACCCUGGUAGUCCACGCCCUAAACUAUGGAUACUCGACAUAUGCGAUACACUGUAUGUGUCUGAGCGAAAGCAUUAAGUAUCCCACCUGGGAAGUACGAUCGCAAGAUUGAAACUUAAAGGAAUUGACGG